rnacentral:rRNA from 1 species
GGUUUCUUAAGUCUGAUGUGAAAGCCCCCGGCUCAACCGGGGGAGGGUCAUUGGAAACUGGGAAACUUGAGUGCAGAAGAGGAAGUGGAAUUCCACGUGUAGCGGUGAAAUGCGUAGAGAUGUGGAGGAACACCAGUGGCGAAGGCGACUUUCUGGUCUGUAACUGACGCUGAGGCGCGAAAGCGUGGGGAGCAAACAGGAUUAGAUACCCUGGUAGUCCACGCCGUAAACGAUGAGUGCUAAGUGUUAGGGGGUUCCGCCCUUUAGUGCUGCAGCUAACGCAUUAAGCACUCCGCCUGGGGAGUACGGUCGCAAGACUGAAACUCAAGGAAUUGACGGACCGC